rnacentral:rRNA from 1 species
AUGGAUCAUAUCACCGGCGAUGAUUACCGUGCAAUGCAACUUCCAUUCGCCAGGGGGGACUGUGUUUACACAUCAUACCAUGGGUUUCAUGAAUCACCAUAUCCAGAGAUUCGUCGACAUAGCUUGUUGCGAGAUAAUCUUCAGUGUGUGAAAGGCAUCAAGCUUCCAUGCGAUGGAUGGCUUUUGCAAACUCGGCAUGCGGCGAUGUGGUUCAUGCCAACAACAAAUAUGCACAACUUGAUUCGAUGUACUGAUAAUGAUGAUGGAGAUGCUUACCAUAUAACUGGAAUUAACCCAUGCAAGUCGAAGAAGGAUUGGCCGGUACUGCCGGCUGGCGUCAAGUUCGAUCCCACGGAUCAGGAGCUGAUCGAGCACCUUGAGGCCAAAGUGAGUGCUGACAGCGCGAGAUCUCACCCUCUCAUCGAUUUGUUCAUACCAACCAUCGACAGCGAGCACGGCAUAUGCUGCACCCAUCCUGAGAAAUUUCCAGGUAUCACACUAAGUGGCCUAAGCAAGCAUUUCUUUCAGCGCAAUUCCAUGGCGUUCAAAAGGGGCACGUGGACGCGUCGCAAGAUACAGUCGGAGUGCGGCAUGCACGCGAUGUGGCACAACACCGGCAAUACCUUGCCGGUGAUGGUCAACGGCCGGCAGACGGGCAGCAAAAAGGUUCUGGUGCUGCACACCAACAAGAACUUCGACCAGCAGAGGACCAACUGGGUGAUGCACCGGUACCACCUCGGGGACCUGGAGCAAGAGAAGGAGCGGGAGCUGGCCCAGCCCAUGACGACAACAGGGCACAAAGAUCCAGCAGGUAUCUACUGGCCUCUGGCCCGCUAG